rnacentral:rRNA from 1 species
GGUUAAGCGACUAAGCGUACACGGUGGAUGCCCUGGCAGUCAGAGGCGAUGAAGGACGUGCUAAUCUGCGAAAAGCGUCGGUAAGGUGAUAUGAACCGUUAUAACCGGCGAUGUCCGAAUGGGGAAACCCAGUGUGAUUCGUCACACUAUCGUUAACUGAAUACAUAGGUUAACGAGGCGAACCGGGGGAACUGAAACAUCUAAGUACCCCGAGGAAAAGAAAUCAACCGAGAUUCCCCCAGUAGCGGCGAGCGAACGGGGAGCAGCCCAGAGUCUGAAUCAGCUUGUGUGUUAGUGGAACGGUCUGGAAAGUCCGACGGUACAGGGUGAUAGUCCCGUACACCAAAAUGCACAGGCUGUGAACUCGAAGAGUAGGGCGGGACACGUGGUAUCCUGUCUGAAUAUGGGGGGACCAUCCUCCAAGGCUAAAUACUCCUGACUGACCGAUAGUGAACCAGUACCGUGAGGGAAAGGCGAAAAGAACCCCGGCGAGGGGAGUGAAAAAGAACCUGAAACCGUGUACGUACAAGCAGUGGGAGCACCUUCGGGUGUGACUGCGUACCUUUUGUAUAAUGGGUCAGCGACUUAUAUUCUGUAGCAAGGUUAACCGUAUAGGGGAGCCGCAGGGAAACCGAGUCUUAACUGGGCGUUAAGUUGCAGGGUAUAGACCCGAAACCCGGUGAUCUAGCCAUGGGCAGGUUGAAGGUUGGGUAACACUAACUGGAGGACCGAACCGACUAAUGUUGAAAAAUUAGCGGAUGACUUGUGGCUGGGGGUGAAAGGCCAAUCAAACCGGGAGAUAGCUGGUUCUCCCCGAAAGCUAUUUAGGUAGCGCCUCGUGAACUCAUCUUCGGGGGUAGAGCACUGUUUCGGCUAGGGGGUCAUCCCGACUUACCAACCCGAUGCAAACUACGAAUACCGAAGAAUGUUAUCACGGGAGACACACGGCGGGUGCUAACGUCCGUCGUGAAGAGGGAAACAACCCAGACCGCCAGCUAAGGUCCCAAAGUCAUGGUUAAGUGGGAAACGAUGUGGGAAGGCACAGACAGCCAGGAUGUUGGCUUAGAAGCAGCCAUCAUUUAAAGAAAGCGUAAUAGCUCACUGGUCGAGUCGGCCUGCGCGGAAGAUGUAACGGGGCUAAACCAUGCACCGAAGCUGCGGCAGCGACACUAUGUGUUGUUGGGUAGGGGAGCGUUCUGUAAGCCUGCGAAGGUGACCUGUGAGGGUUGCUGGAGGUAUCAGAAGUGCGAAUGCUGACAUAAGUAACGAUAAAGCGGGUGAAAAGCCCGCUCGCCGGAAGACCAAGGGUUCCUGUCCAACGUUAAUCGGGGCAGGGUGAGUCGACCCCUAAGGCGAGGCCGAAAGGCGUAGUCGAUGGGAAACAGGUUAAUAUUCCUGUACUUGGUGUUACUGCGAAGGGGGGACGGAGAAGGCUAUGUUAGCCGGGCGACGGUUGUCCCGGUUUAAGCAUGUAGGCUGGUUAUCCAGGCAAAUCCGGAUAAUCAAGGCUGAGGUGUGAUGACGAAGCACUACGGUGCUGAAGUAACAAAUGCCCUGCUUCCAGGAAAAGCCUCUAAGCAUCAGGUAACAUCAAAUCGUACCCCAAACCGACACAGGUGGUCAGGUAGAGAAUACCAAGGCGCUUGAGAGAACUCGGGUGAAGGAACUAGGCAAAAUGGUGCCGUAACUUCGGGAGAAGGCACGCUGGUGUGUAGGUGAAGUCCCUGCGGAUGGAGCUGAGACCAGUCGAAGAUACCAGCUGGCUGCAACUGUUUAUUAAAAACACAGCACUGUGCAAACACGAAAGUGGACGUAUACGGUGUGACGCCUGCCCGGUGCCGGAAGGUUAAUUGAUGGGGUUAUCCGUAAGGAGAAGCUCUUGAUCGAAGCCCCGGUAAACGGCGGCCGUAACUAUAACGGUCCUAAGGUAGCGAAAUUCCUUGUCGGGUAAGUUCCGACCUGCACGAAUGGCGUAAUGAUGGCCAGGCUGUCUCCACCCGAGACUCAGUGAAAUUGAACUCGCUGUGAAGAUGCAGUGUACCCGCGGCAAGACGGAAAGACCCCGUGAACCUUUACUAUAGCUUGACACUGAACAUUGAGCCUUGAUGUGUAGGAUAGGUGGGAGGCUUUGAAGCGUGGACGCCAGUCUGCGUGGAGCCAACCUUGAAAUACCACCCUUUAAUGUUUGAUGUUCUAACGUUGGCCCCUUAUCGGGGUUGCGGACAGUGUCUGGUGGGUAGUUUGACUGGGGCGGUCUCCUCCCAAAGCGUAACGGAGGAGCACGAAGGUUAGCUAAUCCUGGUCGGACAUCAGGAGGUUAGUGCAAUGGCAUAAGCUAGCUUGACUGCGAGCGUGACGGCGCGAGCAGGUGCGAAAGCAGGUCAUAGUGAUCCGGUGGUUCUGAAUGGAAGGGCCAUCGCUCAACGGAUAAAAGGUACUCCGGGGAUAACAGGCUGAUACCGCCCAAGAGUUCAUAUCGACGGCGGUGUUUGGCACCUCGAUGUCGGCUCAUCACAUCCUGGGGCUGAAGUAGGUCCCAAGGGUAUGGCUGUUCGCCAUUUAAAGUGGUACGCGAGCUGGGUUUAGAACGUCGUGAGACAGUUCGGUCCCUAUCUGCCGUGGGCGCUGGAGAAUUGAGGGGGGCUGCUCCUAGUACGAGAGGACCGGAGUGGACGCAUCACUGGUGUUCGGGUUGUCAUGCCAAUGGCACUGCCCGGUAGCUAAAUGCGGAAGAGAUAAGUGCUGAAAGCAUCUAAGCACGAAACUUGCCCCGAGAUGAGUUCUCCCUGAGACUAUAAGUCUCCUGAAGGAACGUUGAAGACGACGACGUUGAUAGGCCGGGUGUGUAAGCGCAGCGAUGCGUUGAGCUAACCGGUACUAAUGAACCGUGAGGCUUAACCUU